rnacentral:siRNA from 1 species
AAUCGCUAUGUUGCUGGUACCGCC